rnacentral:rRNA from 1 species
GCCCCAGUAACGGCGAGUGAAGCGGCAACAGCUCAAAUUUGAAAUCUGGCCCCAGGCCCGAGUUGUAAUUUGCAGAGGAUGCUUUUGGCGCGGUGCCUUCCGAGUUCCCUGGAACGGGACGCCAUAGAGGGUGAGAGCCCCGUACGGUUGGACACCAAGCCUUUGUAAAGCUCCUUCGACGAGUCGAGUAGUUUGGGAAUGCUGCUCAAAAUGGGAGGUAUAUUUCUUCUAAAGCUAAAUAUUGGCCAGAGACCGAUAGCGCACAAGUAGAGUGAUCGAAAGAUGAAAAGCACUUUGAAAAGAGGGUUAAACAGCACGUGAAAUUGUUGAAAGGGAAGCGCUUGUGACCAGACUUGCGCCCGGUGAAUCACCCAGCUCUCGCGGCUGGGGCACUUUGCCGGCACAGGCCAGCAUCAGCUUGCCGUCGGGGACAAAAGCUUCGGGAACGUAGCUCUCUUCGGGGAGUGUUAUAGCCCGUUGCAUAAUACCCUUCGGCGGGCUGAGGUACGCGCUCCGCAAGGAUGCUGGCGUAAUGGUCAUCAGCGACCCGUCUUGAAACCGAANC